rnacentral:rRNA from 1 species
CCUACGGGUGGCAGCAGUGAGGAAUAUUGGUCAAUGGACGAGAGUCUGAACCAGCCAAGUAGCGUGAAGGAUGACUGCCCUAUGGGUUGUAAACUUCUUUUAUAUGGGAAUAAAAUGUUCCACGUGUGGGAUUUUGUAUGUACCAUAUGAAUAAGGAUCGGCUAACUCCGUGCCAGCAGCCGCGGUAAUACGGAGGAUCCGAGCGUUAUCCGGAUUUAUUGGGUUUAAAGGGAGCGUAGGUGGAUUGUUAAGUCAGUUGUGAAAGUUUGCGGCUCAACCGUAAAAUUGCAGUUGAUACUGGCAGUCUUGAGUACAGUUGAGGUAGGCGGAAUUCGUGGUGUAGCGGUGAAAUGCUUAGAUAUCACGAAGGACUCCGAUUGCGAAGGCAGUUCACUAGACUGCAACUGACACUGAGGCUCGAAAGUGUGGGUAUCAAACAGGAUUAGAUACCCUAGUAGUC